rnacentral:rRNA from 1 species
UGCCUGGCGGCACGAGCGCGGUGGGACCACCUGACCCAUGCCGAACUCAGAAGUGAAACGCCGUAGCGCCGAUGGUAGUGUGGGGUCUCCCCAUGCGAGAGUAGGGAACUGCCAGGCAU